AACGAACGCUGGCGGCAUGCCUAACACAUGCAAGUCGAACGAACCCUUCGGGGUGAGUGGCGCACGGGUGCGUAACACGUGGGAACCUGCCCUUAGGUUCGGAAUAACACAGAGAAAUUUGUGCUAAUACCGGAUAAUGUCUUCGGACCAAAGAUUUAUCGCCUUUGGAUGGGCCCGCGUAGGAUUAGCUAGUUGGUGAGGUAAAGGCUCACCAAGGCGACGGUCAUUAGCUGGUCUUAGAGGAGGAUCAGCCACAAUGGGACUGAGACACGGCCCAGACUCCUACGGGAGGCAGCAGUGGGGAAUAUUGGACAAUGGGCGAAAGCCUGAUCCAGCAAUGCCGCGUGAGUGAUGAAGGCCUUAGGGUUGUAAAGCUCUUUUACUGGGGAUGAUAAUGACAGUACCCAGAGAAUAAGCCCCGGCUAACUCCGUGCCAGCCGCCGCCGUAA
rnacentral:rRNA from 1 species